rnacentral:rRNA from 1 species
GCCGGUGGGACCGGUUCACGCCGGGGCCGUAACUCCCUCCGUGCUGCUCUUAACCGAGUGGUUCGGUGGGCCGGCACGUUUACUUUGAACAAAUUUGAGUGCUCAAAGCAGGCCUUAUGUUGCCUGAAAACUGUGUGCAUGGAAUAAUGGAAUAGGACCUUGGUUCUACUUUGUUGGCUUUUCUGAACUCGAGGUAAUGAUUAAUAGGGACAGACGGGGGCAUUCGUAUUACGACGUUAGAGGUGAAAUUCUUGGAUCGUCGUAAGACGAACCCGAUGCGAAAGCGUUUGCCCAGAAUGUUUUCCCUAAUCAAGAACGAAAGUUAGAGGUUUCGAAGGCGAUCAGAUACCGCCCUAGUUCUAACCAUAAACGAUGCAGCCAGCGAUGCGCCAAGUUCUUCCGAUGACCUCGGCGCGGCAGGCUUCCGGGAAACCAAAGCUUUUGGUUCCGGGGGAAGUAUGGUUGCAAAGCUGAAACUAAAGGAAUUGACGGAAGGGACC